AUGCAGUCGGCCCACGCACCCUUGUCCUUCAUAUCACGAUUCACAUCCCACAUGCAGCUGUUGCACUUGAAGCCCGAUCCGAAGGUCACCAAGAGCACCCUGUCCCCUCUCCUGAGCCUCCCCUUGGCCUCCAUGUACGCAAGCACGUACCACACGCUGCUGGCCGACGUGUUUCCCCAGCGGUGCAGCGUCAUCCUCGACGGCUCCACGUCUGCCUCCUUGAGCCCGAAGUUCUUCUUCACGGCGUCGAUGACCGCAACCCCGCCGGAGUGGAGGCAGAAAUGGUCGACCCCGGUCUUUAAGUUGACAUCGAUCUUCACUCGCUGGCGUCGCUGCAUUUUCUGCCACGUAAAGCUGGCGGCAAGCCGGAGGAGCUCCCUAGCAGGGAGGAUGUAAGGGACGAGGCGUUUCAGGUUGGCGGCGAAAGCUCGGACGGCAGCCUUUGGGAGGGUCUUGUACUCUUGUUGA
rnacentral:rRNA from 1 species